rnacentral:tRNA from 1 species
GCCGAAGUGGUGGAAUUGGUAGACACGCUAGUUUCAGGGACUAGUGUCUGUAUGGACGUGGGAGUUCGAGUCUCCCCUUCGGCACCA